GGAAGGCGGAGACAGAAAAGUGACGAACCGAAAAUAGGAGGAGAUGGAAGGCGGAGACAGAAAAGUGAUGAACCGAAAAUAGGAGGAGAUGGAAGGCGGAGACAGAAAAGUGACGAACCGAAAAUAGGAGGAGAUGGUAUUGACAUAUGGC